GUGCCUUGCGGCAGCUUACACAUGCAGUCGAGGGGUAUUUAGUCUUCGGAUAGAGAGACCGGCGCACGGGUGCGUAACGCGUAUGCAAUCUACCUUUUACAGAGGGAUAGCCCAGAGAAAUUUGGAUUAAUACCUCAUAGUAUAUAGACUCGGCAUCGAGAUUAUAUUAAAGUCACAACGGUAAAAGAUGAGCAUGCGUCCCAUUAGCUAGUUGGUAAGGUAACGGCUUACCAAGGCUACGAUGGGUAGGGGUCCUGAGAGGGAGAUCCCCCACACUGGUACUGAGACACGGACCAGACUCCUACGGGAGGCAGCAGUGAGGAAUAUUGGACAAUGGGCGCAAGCCUGAUCCAGCCAUGCCGCGUGCAGGAUGACGGUCCUAUGGAUUGUAAACUGCUUUUAUACGAGAAGAAACACUGCUACGUGUAGCAGCUUGACGGUAUCGUAAGAAUAAGGAUCGGCUAACUCCGUGCCAGCAGCCGCGGUAAUACGGAGGAUCCAAGCGUUAUCCGGAAUCAUUGGGUUUAAAGGGUCCGUAGGCGGUUUAAUAAGUCAGUGGUGAAAGCCCAUCGCUCAACGGUGGAACGGCCAUUGAUACUGUUAGACUUGAAUUAUUAGGAAGUAACUAGAAUAUGUAGUGUAGCGGUGAAAUGCUUAGAGAUUACAUGGAAUACCAAUUGCGAAGGCAGGUUACUACUAAUUGAUUGACGCUGAUGGACGAAAGCGUGGGUAGCGAACAGGAUUAGAUACCCUGGUAGUCCACGCCGUAAACGAUGGAUACUAGCUGUUGGAAGCAAUUUCAGUGGCUAAGCGAAAGUGAUAAGUAUCCCACCUGGGGGAGUACGUUCGCAAGAAUGAAACUCAAAGGAAUUGACGGGGGGCCCGCACAAGCGGUGGAGCAUGUGGUUUAAUUCGAUGAUACGCGAGGAAACCUUACCAAGGGCUUAAAUGUAAAAUUGACCGGGUUUGGAAAACAGAAUCUUUUCGCAAGGACAAUUUUACAAGGGGGCUGGCAUGGGUUGUCCGUCAGCCUCGUGCCCGUGAAGGUGUCAGGGUUAAGUUCCUAUUAACGAAGCGCCAACCCCCUGGUUGUUAAUUUGCCCAGCGAAGUCAAGGUCGGGAAACUCCUAACAAGAACUGGCCAGUGGCAAAACUGUUGAAGGAAAGGUGGGGG
rnacentral:rRNA from 1 species